rnacentral:rRNA from 1 species
CGCGUAGGCGGCGCGAGCAGUCGGUCGUGAAAGUCCGGAGCUCAACUCCGGAUCGGCGGUCGAUACUCUCGUGCUUGAGCACUGUAGAGGCAGAUGGAAUUCCGGGUGUAGCGGUGGAAUGCGUAGAGAUCCGGAAGAACACCGGUGGCGAAGGCGGUCUGCUGGGCAGUUGCUGACGCUGAGGCGCGACAGCGUGGGAGCAAACA